rnacentral:rRNA from 1 species
ACAGGGUGACAGGUGGUGCAUGGUUGUCGUCAGCUCGUGUCGUGAGAUGUUGGGUUAAGUCCCGCAACGAGCGCAACCCUCGCCUCUAGUUGCCAGCAUUCGGUUGGGCACUCUAGAGGGACUGCCGGCGACAAGUCGGAGGAAGGUGGGGAUGACGUCAAAUCAUCAUGCCCCUUAUGACCUGGGCUACACACGUGCUACAAUGGGCGGUACAAAGGGCUGCGAACCCGCGAGGGGGGAGCGAAUCCCAAAAAGCCGCUCUCAGUUCGGAUUGCAGGCUGCAACUCGCCUGCAUGAAGCCGGAAUCGCUAGUAACCGCGAAUCAGCAGGUCCGCGGUCCGAAUACGUUCCGGGCCUU